CACUCCAACUCCCCGUGAUCACACCCGAAAGUUAUAAAUUGGUGAGUAAUCACUUGCGUGGAUGCAAGUUAAGCCGUGACUUCGCCAUGGAUGGCGAAUACACGGCGCUUACGUUCACAUCAAUUUUUAACUUGAGGACACAGUGUGAUCCUCGGGUGCGCCGAGA
rfam:Pseudoalteromonas sp. A601 contig34, whole genome shotgun sequence.